UACGUAGGGGGGCUAGCGUUGCUCGGAAUUACUGGGCGUAAAGGGAGCGUAGGCGGACAGUUUAGUCAGUGGUGAAAGCCCAGGCUCACCUUGGAAUUGCCAUUGAUACUGAUUGUCUUGAGUAUGGGAGAGGUGUGCGGAACUCCGAGUGUAGAGGUGAAAUUCGUAGAUAUUCGGAAGAACACCAGUGGCGAAGGCGGCACACUGGCCCAUUACUGACGCUGAGGCUCGAAAGCGUGGGGAGCAAACAGG
rnacentral:rRNA from 1 species